rnacentral:rRNA from 1 species
UACGUAGGUGGCAAGCGUUGUCCGGAUUUACUGGGCGUAAAGAGCGCGCAGGCGGUCGAAUAAGUCGAAUGUGAAAGCCCCCGGCUCAACUGGGGAGGGUCAUUCGAUACUGUUCGACUUGAAGGCAGGAGAGGGAAGCAGAAUUCCCGGUGUAGUGGUGAAAUGCGUAGAUAUCGGGAGGAAUACCAGUGGCGAAGGCGGCGACCUGGGCAGAUACUGACGCUGAGGUGCGAAAGCGUGGGGAGCAAACAGG